UACCAAAAAUCAGAAAUAAAUAUCAUUGAAGAAGACAAAACGAACUUCAAAGUCAUUAACUUUCUUUACAGAUGAGAAAAAAAAUGUAAAAUAACAAAAAUAAAAGAAGAAAAGAAAUCAGUCAAGGAACAGCUGUAUGAUUUAGCUAGCUGUCACCUCUUCUCAAGUAAAGAAUAAUACUAAAGAAUAUAUUCUUCCUUCUUUUUGGACUUCUUUCCUUUUUUCUGUCCAUGACUGUAAAUUAAAAUCCUAAAAAAAACUAAGAAAAAAAUUCAAUAAUAAUUAAUUUAAAGUAGUUUUGCCAUAACCAUAAUAAGAGAGAUACCACUUGACGAAUUUUUUUAACCCGGUUUGAAUAUCUGUAGUGGGUUUAUACCCGAAUUCUCUUCGAGCCGAAGUGAUAUUAGCAUGAGUGAAAGGAACAUCACCGUUUCCAGGCAUAUCUACGAUAUUCUUCUUCGCCUUCACCUUCAAUAGUCGCUCAAGUAUACUCACAAGUGUCGGCACCGUCACCGGCGAAGUAUUCCCCAGAUUAAAGAUCCGAUACGGUGCUGCUCCACGUUUCUUCCCACCUGAUCCAGUACUCUUACCAGAAGUAUCCAAUGAUCCAACACAUCCCUUCACUAUAUCAUCAAUGUAGGUGAAGUCACGUGACAGAUCAACCCGGUUCUUACCCCGAUAAACCGUAAUCGGUUUUCCCUGAAGCAUAUUUCUAGUGAAAGUAAAAAUAGCCAUGUCUGGUCUUCCCCAUGGUCCAUAAACAGUAAAAAAUCGUAAACCGGUGAUUGAAAGACCGUAAAUGUGAUUAUAAGUGUGAGUGAUUUCUUCACCUGCUUUCUUCGUCGCUGCAUAUAAACUCGCCGGUUGAUCGGUCCGAUCCGAUUCAGAAAACGGAACUUUCUCGUUUAAACCAUAAACCGAACUCGAAGAAGCCCAAACAAUCGACGGUUGAGGGUUCGCCGUUUUGCAAGCUUCAAGAAGCGUGACUAAACCGGCGAUGUUACUGUUAACAUAUGACAUAGGAUUCUCCAUAGCGUAUCUGACACCAGCUUGAGCUGCGAGAUGCAUCACAUGAGUAAAAGCCACAACAUCGAAAAGCUUUGCUAAUAGCUUCGCGUCGUUUAAAUCACCAUGCACGAUGAAAACGCCGCGGCUUUGUAAAAGCGCUUUUCGAGCUUUUUUCAAUGAAGGAUCAUAGUAAUCGUUGAAGUUAUCAAGUCCAACGACACCAUCACCUCUUCUUUUCAAAGCAAGAGAAACAUGGGACCCAAUGAAACCUGCUGCGCCGGUAACAAGUACUGACAUGCCGCCUUGACGGUGGAUUUGAGCGGAGGCUCUGACUUGUUUUUCCCAUUGAAUUCCACCCCAUGAAGCGGAGAGAUACCGGCUACCGGAAUCAACGACGCCUUGAAAAGUGACGUAAGAAACAGUUGAUGCGAUAAGCAAAAGCGCCCACAAGAACAUGGUGCUUGAUGAACCGAAACAACGGUGAACCUGACGGUUCAUUAGACCGUGGUUUCUUUCGAUCUUGAAUUUUCCUGGUGUAGAUGGGUAGAGUUGGUCUUCCAAUGAAGAUGAUGAUGGCAUUUUCUUUUAUCUAAGUGUAAUUUUAGAUGCAGAUAAUAAAAAGGGAGAAAUUGUUGAAGUUAAUUUCUGCACCUGAGUUUUGAGGAAUUGGGAGGGUGAUUAUAUAUAGUGGUUAUUUACCUUUGAAGCGACAACUAAACGCGUGAACGCGUUAAAAAUUGGGACAGGUUGGAAGAGAGAGAAAACACAAUAACUCAGACAGUGAGUUUUUCUCUUUCUCUCUCUAUCUAAGUAAGGAAAAUUUUCUAGACAGAGAAGAAUCUGCGUGUCUUUGAUGACUCAUUAGUCUGAAUAUAGGUUGAUUGAUAAAUAAAUAUGGUUGUAAUUCCGAUUUUUUUUUACUAACUUGGAC
rnacentral:lncRNA from 1 species